CCCCACUCCCCGGACUGGAAGAGGAAGGGAAUGCGCUGUCCUACCGGUGUGAGGCCGCCCCUGAAGAUGCUAACGCUUCUGCUGCUUCUGGGGCCUGGCUCUGGGCUCGGUGCUCUGGUCCUGCAAAACCCCAGCAGGGCUAUCUGUCAGAGCGGAGCCUCUGUGAGGAUCGAGUGCCAUUCUGUGGGUUUGCAGGCUCUAACCGUGUUGUGGUACCGUCAGCUGCCGAAACAGAGCUUCAUGCUGAUGGCAACUUCCAAUCAGGGCUCCGACGCUGCCUAUGAACAGGGUUUUACCAAAGCCAAGUUUCCCAUCAACCAUCCAAACGCAAGCUACUCAAGUCUGGAGGUGACAAACACACAGCCUGAAGACAUCGGCUUGUACUUCUGUGGCGCCAGUGACACGGCGCUGGGCUGAGAUCUGAGACCUCGGCAAGAACCUGUGGUGGCCGCUCGGCUCCUCCCCACACACCAGACCCCGGGAGCUGGGUGGAAGGAGCUGUGAGGAUGGAAA